UAGUCCACGCCCUAAACGAUGUUAACUCGAUGUUUGUAUUUAUAUGAGCAUCCAAGGGAAACCGUUAAGUUAACCACCUGGGAAGUACGUUCGCAAGAAUGAAACUCAAAGGAAUUGACGGGGGCCCGCACAAGCGGUGGAGCAUGUGGCUUAAUUCGAUGCAACGCGAGGAACCUUACCUGGGCUCGAAUGCUACCGGACAAGCUCUGAAAGGAGCCUUCCUUCGGGUCGGUAGUAAGGUGCUGCAUGGCUGUCGUCAGUUCGUGUCGUGAGAUGUUGGGUUAAGUCCCGCAACGAACGCAACCCCUAUCGUUAGUUACCAGCGAGUUAUGUCGGGAACUCUAGCGAGACUGCCUGCGCAAGCAGUGAGGAAGGUGGGGACGACGUCAAGUCAUCAUGGCCCUUACGCCCAGGGCUGCACACGUGCUACAAUGGACGAUACAACAGGCUGCCACUUCGCAAGAAGGAGCUAAUCCCUAAAGUCGUUACUCAGUUCGGAUCGGAGUCUACAGCUCG
rnacentral:rRNA from 1 species